UCUACGGGGGGCAGCAGUGAGGAAUAUUGGUCAAUGGGCGCGAGCCUGAACCAGCCAAGUCGCGUGAGGGAAGACGGUCCUAUGGAUUGUAAACCUCUUUUGUCGGGGAGCAAAAGACGCCACGCGUGGCGUUCCGAGAGUACCUGAAGAAAAAGCAUCGGCUAACUCCGUGCCAGCAGCCGCGGUAAUACGGAGGAUGCGAGCGUUAUCCGGAUUUAUUGGGUUUAAAGGGUGCGUAGGCGGAAUAUCAAGUCAGCGGUAAAAAUUCGGGGCUCAACCCCGUCGUGCCGUUGAAACUGAUGUUCUUGAGUGGGCGAGAAGUAUGCGGAAUGCGUGGUGUAGCGGUGAAAUGCAUAGUUAUCACGCAGAACUCCGAUUGCGAAGGCAGCAUACCGGCGCCCAACUGACGCUGAAGCACGAAAGCGUGGGUAUCGAACAGGAUUAGAUACCCGUGUAGUC
rnacentral:rRNA from 1 species